GUCUACAGCCAUGCCACCCUGAACAAGCCCAAUCCCGUCUGAUCUUGGAAGCUAAGCAGGUUCAGGCCUAGGUAGUACUUGGAUGGGAGACCACCUAUCUAGGAAGACCAGGUGCUGUAGGCA
rnacentral:rRNA from 1 species